rnacentral:rRNA from 1 species
GACAGAGGUCCCGAGCGUUAGGCGGAAUCACUGGGCUUAAAGCGUGCGUAGGCGGUUCGCUAAGUCGGUUGUGAAAUCCCUGGGCUUAACCUGGGAACUGCAGUCGAUACUGGCGGACUAGAAUGCGGUAGAGGGUGGCGGAACUCCGGGUGUAGCGGUGAAAUGCGUAGAUAUUGGGGAGGAACACCAGUGGCGAAGGCGGCUCACUGGACCGGAACUGACGCUGAGGCGCGAAAGCGUGGGGAGCAAACAGG